rnacentral:rRNA from 1 species
GACGAACGCUGGCGGCGUGCUUAACACAUGCAAGUCGUACGGUAAGGCCCUUUCGGGGGUACACGAGUGGCGCACGGGUGAGUAACACGUGAGUAACCUGCCCACAACUUUGGGAUAACGCUAGGAAACUGGUGCUAAUACUGGAUAUGUGCCCCUGCUGCAUGGUGGGGGUUGGAAAGCUCCGGCGGUUGUGGAUGGACUCGCGGCCUAUCAGCUUGUUGGUGGGGUAGUGGCCUACCAAGGCGGCGACGGGUAGCCGGCCUGAGAGGGUGACCGGCCACAUUGGGACUGAGAUACGGCCCAGACUCCUACGGGAGGCAGCAGUGGGGAAUAUUGCACAAUGGGCGCAAGCCUGAUGCAGCAACGCCGCGUGCAGGAUGACGGCCUUCGGGUUGUAAACCGCUUUCAGCAGGGACGAAGCUUUUUGUGACGGUACCUGCAGAAGAAGCACCGGCUAACUACGUG